UGGGGAAUAUUGGACAAUGGGCGCAAGCCUGAUCCAGCCAUGCCGCGUGAGUGAUGAAGGCCCUAGGGUUGUAAAGCUCUUUCACCGGUGAAGAUAAUGACGGUAACCGGAGAAGAAGCCCCGGCUAACUUCGUGCCAGCAGCCGCGGUAAUACGAAGGGGGCUAGCGUUGUUCGGAUUUACUGGGCGUAAAGCGCACGUAGGCGGACUUUUAAGUCAGGGGUGAAAUCCCGGGGCUCAACCCCGGAACUGCCUUUGAUACUGGAAGUCUUGAGUAUGGUAGAGGUGAGUGGAAUUCCGAGUGUAGAGGUGAAAUUCGUAGAUAAUCGGAGGAACACCAGUGGCGAAGGCGGCUCACUGGACCAUUACUGACGCUGAGGUGCGAAAGCGUGGGGAGCAAACAGG
rnacentral:rRNA from 1 species